GUGACCCCAGGACGGG
rnacentral:rRNA from 1 species